rnacentral:tRNA from 1 species
GCGGGGCUGGGGCUCAGUGGUAGAGCGCUUGCCUGGCACGUGUGAGGCCCUGGGUUCCAUCCUCAGCACCGCA